rnacentral:rRNA from 1 species
GGCGAAGCCUGAUCCAGCCAUGCCGCGUGUGUGAAGAAGGUCUUCGGAUUGUAAAGCACUUUAAGUUGGGAGGAAGGGCAUUAACCUAAUACGUUAGUGUUUUGACGUUACCGACAGAAUAAGCACCGGCUAACUCUGUGCCAGCAGCCGCGGUAAAA